UUUCCCCCCCCCCCACUCUGCAUGUUACGGCGCGGUACAGUCAAACAAAUCUGCUGUGUUUUUUGUUGUCACAUCCUAACUCCCACCUCAUAUUUCAUUCACAGGCGAUCGUGGGCUACUUUGACAUUUUCUUCGACAAAGGCUGUGGAAACAAGGUGUCCUUCUCCACUGGUCCAAAGGACACAAAGACCCACUGGAAGCAGACGCUCUUCCUGCUAGAGAGCCCACUUCCUGUCCAGGCCGGGGAGGAGCUUCAGGGAACGAUCAAAGUCAUCAAGAACAAGAAGGACCCCCGGUCGCUGCUGGUCACGCUGAUUCUCCGAGACAGGAAGCAGACCUACAUGCUGCAGUGAGCGUGGGAGCUGACUGCAUGGGGUCUGAGAGGAUGACUCUGAAUACUCCACCUUUAACCCGUAGGACUGAAACACAGGUGGAGAUGGCAUUCUAUGUGUUCUUCCAGAGAUGGUGUGUACUCAAAGUAUUAGCAUGGACCACACACACACACACACACACACUCGUGCACAUGCACACACACGCAAACACACAAGCACGCAAACACACAAGCGUGAUUUCAGAUGAGUGAGCGUGAUUUCAGACGACUGGAGGGACGUUUGAUCACAGGGAUCAAAGGCGAUUUGUUCUUUUUAAUAAAGAUUUAUAAUGCAGAA